AAAAAUAGUGAGUUAGACAGCGGUGGUGAAUUUAUGGUAAAUAUGAUGAGUUCAGGCCAAAAAACUGGCCCCAUACCAAACUAUAGAAAAGCAGGCAUUCGUGCUCAAUACACAAUGCCUGGUACGCCACAGCAGAAUGGAGUUGCUGAAAGGCAGUAAUCGUACACUUAUGGAUAUGGUUAGGAGAUGAUGAGUUCUCGCAUGUACCCAAUUUUUGUGGAGUGAAGCACUUCAAACCGCAAUGUAGAUCUUGAACAGGGUCCUAGUAAGCGGUCCCAAUACUCCUUUUGAGUUGUGGACUGGAGGAAACCUAGUUGAGACAUUUACAUGUUUGGGGUUGUCCGCGAGGCUAGAAUCUUAAUCCACAAGAAAGAAAUUUUUUCGAUCUAGAACAAAUUUAUGGGAUUUCAUUGGUAUUCAGAAAAGGUUUAAGGGGUACAGAUCUAUUGUCCUAACCAUAGUACGCGAAUAGUUGAAACCGGAAAAUGCCAGAUUCUAGAGGAUGGCGAAAUUAGUGGGCGUGAAAAAUCAAGAAAAGUGAGUUUCGAUGAAAUAAGAGUUGACAUCCCAACAAUUCUCCUCAUCGAGAAGUUGUCACUCCUCAAAACAACCAACAGUCCUGAGGAGAACGAAUACAACCUGAAAUAAAUGAUCUCACUUCAUGAGAUAUCGCCUUGAAAAAUAUGUAGAACCACCACAACCGGGCCGUUCUAGAAGAUCUCAGGAGGAACUAAGAUCUGCCAUCCCGAAAUGAUUAUGUGGUUGUAUCAACAAAGAAUCUGAUUUUGAUAUUGGAUUAAGAAAGAUCCGGUUUUGUUUUCACAGACAUUAGUAGUGAUGAUUCUACUAAAGGGUUGAUGCAUGAAUGAGAGUUGAAAUCUAUUGUCCCAGACUGAUGUCUGGAUCUCGCGAAUACUUAAUUGCAAGAACUCAAAUGAAAUGGGUCUUUAAGACAAGCGUGAUGCAAAAGGCCAUUAUCGAACGAUUAGGCUAGACUUGUGCCUAAGGGGUUUCACCAGAAAAAAAAGCAUGACUACAAAGAGACCUUUUCUCAAGUAUCUAAAAAGGGACUCACUUAGAAUUCAUUUUAGCCCUUGUAGCUCAUUAUGACUUGAGCUACAUAGAUGGAUGUGCAAAUGCUUUUUAAAUGGUAGUGUGGAUGACGAAUUACAUGGAAACAACCUGAAGGAUUCACAAAGAAAGGAAAAGAGCAUUUAGCUUGCCAAAUUAAAGAAAUUCAUUUAUGGCCUUAAACAAGCUUCCAGGCAAUGGUACUUACAGUUUCUGAUACCAUUAUCUCUUUCGGAUUUAAGGAAAACGGUGGUGAUCCGGAUAUAUCUGAAGAUCAGUGGGAGUAAGUUAUUAUUUGGUGCUAUAUGUGGAUGAUAUUUUGUUAGCUUGCAAUGAUCUUGGUUUGUACACGAAACCAAGGGAUAUCUAGCCAAAAAAUUUUAAGGAUGGUCGAUUAGGUGAGGCCUCGUAUCUAUUGGCAUAGAGAUCAUAAGAGAUUCGAUCUUUUCUCUUUGAAGAUUGCAUAUGAUUGUCUCAGAAGGGUUAUCGAUCGAGUUUUAGAGAGAUUAAUAUGCAGUGUGCUGUCAGUAAAGUGAUGCAACCUAUGGAAGGGUGACAAGUUUAAAUGACAGACAGUGCCCAAGGAAUGGAAUACUGGAAAGCGCUAAGAAGUUAGCGAUACCUUCAAGGAACCAACGACUACAUGCUCACUAUAAGUAGAUCGGGAUCGUUUGGAAGUGAUCGGAUACUCGGAUUCGGAUUCGCUGGUUGUUCGAUAGCAUAAAAUCACAUAGGAUUUGUUUUUCGUUAGUGGUGGAGCAAUUUCGUGGAAGAGUGAAAGCAAUCUAUUAAUUGCCUGCAUCCACGAUGGAGGCCGAGUUUUUGUGGCAUGCUUUGAGGCCACAGGCAUGCUUUAUGGUUGCGAAUUUUAUCUCAGGACUGGGUGUGGCGACUCAAUUGCCAAGCCGAUGGCGAUAUAUGUACAACUCCGCAGAGUUUUCUUUCUAAGAAUGGCAAGUACUCUACUGGUUCCAAGCAUAUGGAAGUUAAGUACUUGGUGUUAGAGAAAGAUCCAGAAACAACAAGUGUCAAUUGAGAACCUGAGCACCAAUCUUAUGAUAAGCUGAUCCGCUGACGAAGGGAUUGCCACCAAAGACUAUAAAGAACAUUGUUAGGAUGGGUCUUUUGAGCAAUUCCAUGAGGAGUAUUUUGGGGUUAUUGUACUCGACACUAAAUUGCGCAUUAUUAGAGUGUUUUGUUUUUCCUGUUUCCAUUCUGUGUGCACAUAAUUAUGUUGGAUUUUAUAAACCGGAAUUGUCUUGACCAGACCAAAAUUAUUGGGCUUCUUAGGGAAUGUAUUCCUAAAGUAUUAAUUUGUACUUUCCCUAUUAUGCACUGGGUUAAUAAAGGUUAUCAAUGAGCUGUAGUGCAUAGAAGGGAAUAUGGCAUGGAGACCAUACAACGCUUGACUCACAUUGGUAAUCUGACG
rnacentral:lncRNA from 1 species